GUGAGGAAUUUUCCGCAAUGGGCGAAAGCCUGACGGAGCAAUGCCGCGUGAAGGAUGAAGGCCUAUGGGUUGUAAACUUCUUUUCUCAGAAAAGAAUUAUGACGGUAUCUGAGGAAUAAGCAUCGGCUAACUCUGUGCCAGCAGCCGCGGUAAGACAGAGGAUGCAAGCGUUAUCCGGAAUGAUUGGGCGUAAAGCGUCUGUAGGUUGUUUAAAAAGUAUUCUGUCAAAGAUUAGGGCUUAACCCUAGAUAGGCAGAAUAAACUUUUAAGCUAGAGUUUGGUAGAGGCAGAGGGAAUUCCCGGUGGAGCAGUGAAAUGCGUAGAUAUCGGGAGGAACACCAAAGGCGAAGGCACUCUGCUGGGCCAAUACUAACACUGAGAGACGAAAGCGAGGGGAGCAAAUGGGAUUAGAAACCCGUGUAGUCC
rnacentral:rRNA from 1 species